rnacentral:rRNA from 1 species
UACGUAGGUGGCAAGCGUUGUCCGGAUUUAUUGGGUUUAAAGGGUGCGUAGGCGGUCUAUUAAGUCAGUGCUGAAAUAUCCCGGCUUAACCGGGAGGGUGGCAUUGAUACUGAUGGACUUGAGUAAAGUUGAGGUUGGCGGAAUUGACGGUGUAGCGGUGAAAUGCUUAGAUAUCGUCAAGAACACCGAUAGUGAAGACAGCUAACUAAGCUUUAACUGACGCUGAGGCACGAAAGUGUGGGGAUCAAACAGG